AGGUACAUUCAAAGCACUUGUGCCACAUCUGGAGAAGGUCUAUAUGAAGGCCUUGAUUGGCUCUCCAACAAUAUUGCUGGCAAGGCAUGAUGAAACUGCUGGAAUACAUUUUGCACUUGGAAGAGACCAUUAGUCAUUGUGGAGCAGAAAGAAUGAAGAAGAAAGAAGUAUUAUGUCUGAUUUUACAACAGUUUAUAGUAUAUUAGUAUCCGUUGAUGUUUGCGUCAUUGUGUGUGCGUGUAGUUUUCUAAACCAACCUCAACUUUUUUACUUGUUAAAAACGAAUUUGUGAUAGUUCUCGCUUUUACCGUUUU